rnacentral:ncRNA from 2 species
UUCUUAUCGAGAGAAACUGAGGGACAGGCCCAAUGACGUUUCGGCAGCAGAUUCAGAAUGAAAACUGUGCCAAUUCCUGCAAGCAAUUUAUGCUUGAAAGAUGAGAA